AACGCACGAGACCUGCGGACCUGCGGAAGGAUCAUUACAAAUCUUUUGCGAGUGUUGCGUGCUUAAGUGUGCGUAGCAUUUACAACAUUAGCACAAGGUCGCAAGACUUUGAUGUUUACGCUUGUUUGUUUGACAGAGUUAGUUGAGACAAUAAGAAAACAACUUUUAACAACGGAUCUCU
rnacentral:misc_RNA from 1 species